GUGAAUCAUCAAAUCUUUGAACGCAAAUUGCACUCUCCCCGGAGAGUAUGCCUGUUUGAGGGUCAGCCUAUAAAAUCGGCAUCGGUGCUGUUUCGCGGUGGCGUUCGUCGGGAAUUGGGUCAACUUAAAUCCUUUUUGUUUAAGCGACUUAAAAUUUUCUUUUGGUUCCAUGAACGUUUCUAAGGUCUAUUUCUUUACACGGUUAAGGGAUUGAUUUUUUCUAGGCGGGACCAUCAUAUCGGAUCGCG
rnacentral:misc_RNA from 1 species